rnacentral:rRNA from 1 species
UUGGAGGGCAAGUCUGGUGCCAGCAGCCGCGGUAAUUCCAGCUCCAAUAGCGUAUAUUAAAGUUGCUGCAGUUAAAAAGCUCGUAGUUGAAUUUCGGGACCAUCAUGUCGGUCGUGCCUCGGUACGUACUGGUAUUGUUGGUUUCUCCCUUCUGACGAACCAUGAUGUCAUUUAUUUGGUGUUGUGGGGAAUCAGGACUGUUACUUUGAAAAAAUUAGAGCGUUUAAAGCAGGCUCACGCUUGAAUACAUUAGCAUGGAAUAACGAAAUAGGACGUUUGAUUCUAUUUUGUUGGUUUCUAGGAUCGACGUAAUGAUUAAUAGGGAUAGUUGGGGGCAUUAGUAUUCAAUUGUCAGAGGUGAAAUUCUUGGAUUUAUUGAAGACUAACUACUGCGAAAGCAUUUGCCAAGGAUGUUUUCAUUAAUCAAGAACGAAAGUUAGGGGAUCGAAGACGAUCAGAUACCGUCGUAGUCUUAACCAUAAACUAUGCCGACUAGGGAUCGGAUGAUGUUAAUUUUUUAAUGACUCAUUCGGCGCCUUACGGGAAAC